AGCAGCCGCGGUAAUUCCAGCUCCAAUAGCGUAUAUUAAAGUUGCUGCAGUUAAAAAGUUGGUAGUUGAAUUUGGGGGUUCUACCGUUGGUCGGGCUUUGUCUGUACUGGCGUGUAGAAUUUCUACCUUCUGGGGAACCAUCAUGUUAUUAAUUUAACGUGGUGGGAAACCAGGACCUUUACCUUGAAAAAAUUAGAGUGUUCAAAGCAGGCUUAUGUCUGAAUACAUUAGCAUGGAAUAAUAGAAUAGGACGGUGGUCCUGUUUUGUUGGUUUCUGAAUCACCGUAAUGAUUAAUAGGGAUAGUUGGGGGCAUUAGUAUUCAAUUGUCAGAGGUGAAAUUCUUGGAUUUAU
rnacentral:rRNA from 1 species